rnacentral:rRNA from 1 species
UACAGAGGGUGCAAGCGUUAUUCGGAAUUAUUGGGCAUAAAGCGCAUGUAGGUGGCUUAGUUAGUCUGAUGUGAAAGCCCCGGACUCAAUUCGGGAAGUGCAUUGGAUACUGCUAGGCUGGAGUAUGGGAGAGGUGAGCGGAAUUCCAGGUGUAGAGGUGAAAUUCGUAGAUAUCUGGAGGAACAACAGAGGCGAAGGCGGCUCACUGGACCAUUACUGACACUGAGAUGCGAAAGCGUGGGGAGCAAACAGG